GACGAACGCUGGCGGUAUGCUUAACACAUGCAAGUCGAACGAGACAAGAUGGAAGUGCUUGCACGGAAAUCUUAGAAAGUGGCGAACGGGUGAGUAACGCGUGGGUAACCUGCCCUAUGGAAAGGAAUAGCCUCGGGAAACUGGGAGUAAUGCCUUAUAAGAUAUAUUUGUCGCAUGGCAGAUGUAUUAAACGCUCCGGUGCCAUAGGAUGGACCCGCGUCCCAUUAGCUAGUUGGUGAGAUAACAGCCCACCAAGGCGACGAUGGGUAACCGGUCUGAGAGGGCGAACGGUCACACUGGAACUGAGACACGGUCCAGACUCCUACGGGAGGCAGCAGUGGGGAAUAUUGCGCAAUGGGGGAAACCCUGACGCAGCAAUACCGCGUGAGUGAAGAAGGUUUUCGGAUCGUAAAGCUCUGUUAUUGGGAAGAAAAAAGACGGUACCCAAGAAGAAAGUCCCGGCUAACUACGUGCCAGCCGCCGCCGUAA
rnacentral:rRNA from 1 species